rnacentral:rRNA from 1 species
UACAGAGGGUGCAAGCGUUAAUCGGAAUUACUGGGCGUAAAGCGUGCGUAGGUGGUUUGUUAAGUCAGGCGUGAAAUCCCUGGGCUCAACCUGGGAACUGCGUUUGAUACUGGCAUACUCGAGUGUGGUAGAGGGUAGUGGAAUUCCUCAUGUAGCAGUGAAAUGCGUAGAUAUGCGGAGGAACACCAGUGGCGAAGGCGGCUACCUGGACCAACACCGACACUGAGGCACGAAAGCGUGGGGAGCAAACAGG